AUUCUUUGAUAUCAACAUGAAAGGUUUGGAUGGCAUUCAAGGACCAAUAUAUGUUGGCACAGGGUGUGUGUUCAGAAGGUCGGCACUCUACGCUUAUGAUGCUCCAAAAGCAAAGAAACCACCUAGUAGGACAUGCAACUGCUUGCCAAAGUGGAACUGUGGAUGUUGUUGUUCAGGAAGGACAAAGAAGAAGAAGACUAACAAACCUAAGUCUGAGAUGAUGAAGAAGACUUCAAGGACAUCCACCUCUGUUUUGGAGGGUACUGAAGAGGGCAUUGAAGUAAUUGAAGAUCAAAAUGUGGCUGUAAUGCCUGAACAUAAAUUAGAAAAGAAGUUUGGACAGUCUCCUGUAUUUGUAGCAUCAACACUUCUAGAGGAUGGUGGUACACUGAAAAGUGCCAGCCCUGCAUCUCUGCUUAAAGAAGCCAUCCAUGUUAUUAGCUGUGGCUAUGAAGACAAAACAGAAUGGGGAAAAGAGGUUGGAUGGAUUUAUGGUUCGGUUACAGAGGAUAUAUUGACAGGUUUUAAAAUGCACUGUCAUGGAUGGCGAUCAAUAUAUUGUAUUCCUGAUAGGCCUGCAUUUAAAGGUUCGGCGCCCAUCAAUCUUUCUGAUCGUCUACACCAGGUCCUUCGAUGGGCUCUUGGAUCUGUAGAAAUAUUUUUGAGCAGGCACUGUCCUCUUUGGUAUGGAUAUGGAGGAGGUUUGAAGUGGCUAGAGCGUUUGUCUUACAUAAAUGCUACAGUGUAUCCAUUGACAUCUAUUCCUCUGUUGGCAUAUUGUACUCUCCCUGCUGUAUGCUUGCUAACUGGCAAAUUUAUCACUCCAGAGCUCAGCAACGUUGCCAGCUUGUGGUUUUUGUCACUUUUCAUUUGCAUUUUUGCAACAAGUAUACUGGAAAUGAGAUGGAGUGGAGUCGGGAUUCAUGACUGGUGGAGAAAUGAGCAAUUUUGGGUGAUUGGAGGGGUGUCAGCACAUCUAUUUGCCGUCUUCCAGGGCCUCCUAAAGGUUCUAGCUGGUGUAGAUACAAACUUCACUGUAACAGCAAAAGGAGGGGAUGAUGAGGAGUUUUCAGAGCUGUAUCUAUUUAAGUGGACCACAUUGCUCAUUCCACCGACAACACUGUUGAUCAUAAACCUGAUAGGAGUGGUUGCUGGUGUAUCAAAUGCAAUAAAUAAUGGGUAUGAUUCGUGGGGGCCUCUGUUUGGUAAGCUUUUCUUUGCGUUCUGGGUGAUAGUUCACCUCUAUCCUUUCCUGAAGGGUCUACUUGGUCGACAAAACAGAACUCCCACAAUCAUUAUUGUCUGGUCAAUUUUGCUUGCCUCCAUCUUCUCCCUUCUGUGGGUUCGUAUAGAUCCAUUCCUAGCAAAGUCGAAUGGCCCGGUUUUGGAAGAAUGUGGUUUGGACUGUAAUUAGCAUCAGCAUUUGCUGUUCGGCGAUGGGCCAUUAAGGCGGAUCAAAAUAUCUGUGUUUUUCAUGGUACAGAAGAUAAAAGAUGUCUGGUAUGGAGAGGUUUGCAAGCUGUAGAUUGAAUUGUGUGUUGAGGCGUGGUUUGGCGUGUAUAUCUUUUUACACUCCUCAUUCCUCCUCUUUGGUAAAGGAAUUACAUAAGGGGUCAAGCCUGAGCUGGCUGCUGCGCGCCACCUUUCACUGUUGUUCUUGGGGCAGAAACUACAAUAAGCGCUUCCCAAAUUCUUUUGUAUUUUAAUUUAUACAGGGAAGAGAAGGUAGGCUACACUACUUUAUAUUGUGUAUUAUUAUUAUUAUUAUUAUU
rnacentral:misc_RNA from 1 species